CUUGUGGAGAGUAUACAAAGAUGUAAUUAGUAUUUAGAGUUAUCUAAUACGAAAGCAUGCUCGAUGAAACAAGAA
rnacentral:ncRNA from 1 species